CCCAUGUAGCCUUCUUCUAUAUCGAGCUGGUCUGCAACGUCUGGUUUACCGUCGAACUGCUUGUAAGAUCUGUGGUAGCCCCAAAUAUAAUAGAAUUCGUCAAAUCACCAGUCAACAUAAUCGACUUCAUAGCCACAUUAAGUUUCUACAUGGACGUCGUCGUGGAACUGGCAGUUCUGAAAAGGAAUGUGGACAAAGCUGAUAUUUUAGAAUUCAUAUCUAUCAUCAAGAUCCUCAGGUUAUUCAAGCUGAC
rnacentral:misc_RNA from 1 species